rnacentral:rRNA from 1 species
GGUUAAGUUAUUAAGGGCGCACGGCGAAUGCCUUGGCACUAGGAGCCGAAGAAGGACGGCACUAACACCGAUAUGCUUCGGGGAGCUGUAAGUGAGCUUUGAUCCGGAGAUUUCCGAAUGGGGGAACCCACUACGUUUAAUCGCGUAGUAUCUUGACGUGAAUACAUAGCGUCUUGAAGGCAGACCCAGGGAACUGAAACAUCUAAGUACCUGGAGGAAGAGAAAGAAAAAUCGAUUCCCUGAGUAGCGGCGAGCGAAACGGGAAGAGCCCAAACCAAGAGGCUUGCCUCUUGGGGUUGUAGGACACUCUAUACGGAGUUACAAAAGAGCGAGUUAGAUGAAGCGACUUGGAAAGGUCCGCCAGAGCAGGUAAAAGCCCUGUAGUCGAAAGUUCGUUCUCUCCUGAGUGGAUCCUGAGUACGGCGGAACACGUGAAAUUCCGUCGGAAUCCGGGAGGACCAUCUCCCAAGGCUAAAUACUACCUAGUGACCGAUAGUGAACCAGUACCGUGAGGGAAAGGUGAAAAGCACCCCGGAAGGGGAGUGAAAGAGAUCCUGAAACCGUGUGCCUACAAGUAGUUAGAGCCCGUUAAUGGGUGAUAGCGUGCCUUUUGUAGAAUGAACCGGCGAGUUACGAUUACGUGCAAGGUUAAGCUUUAGAAGGCGGAGCCGCAGCGAAAGCGAGUCUGAAUAGGGCGAAAUAGUACGUGGUCGUAGACCCGAAACCAGGUGAUCUACCCAUGUCCAGGGUGAAGGUGAGGUAACACUUACUGGAGGCCCGAACCCACGCACGUUGAAAAGUGCGGGGAUGAGGUGUGGGUAGCGGAGAAAUUCCAAUCGAACUUGGAGAUAGCUGGUUCUCUCCGAAAUAGCUUUAGGGCUAGCCUCGUGAUGAGAAUACUGGAGGUAGAGCACUGUUUGGACUAGGGGGCCAUCCCGGUUUACCGAAUUCAGACAAACUCCGAAUGCCAGAUAUUUAUACACGGGAGUCAGACUGCGAGUGAUAAGAUCCGUAGUCAAAAGGGAAACAGCCCAGACCACCAGCUAAGGUCCCAAAAUAUAUGUUAAGUGGAAAAGGAUGUGGCGUUGCCCAGACAACUAGGAUGUUGGCUUAGAAGCAGCCAUCAUUUAAAGAGUGCGUAAUAGCUCACUGGUCGAGUGACGCUGCGCCGAAAAUGUAUCGGGGCUAAACGAUUCACCGAAGCUGUGGAUUGACAUCUACGAUGUCAGUGGUAGGAGAGCGUUCUAAGUGCGUUGAAGUCAGAUCGGAAGGACUGGUGGAGCGCUUAGAAGUGAGAAUGCCGGUAUGAGUAGCGAAAGACGGGUGAGAAUCCCGUCCACCGUAUGACUAAGGUUUCCUGAGGAAGGCUCGUCCGCUCAGGGUUAGUCGGGACCUAAGCCGAGGCCGAUAGGCGUAGGCGAUGGACAACAGGUUGAUAUUCCUGUACCACCUCCUCACCGUUUGAGAAAUGGGGGGACGCAGUAGGAUAGGGUAAGCGCGCCGUUGGUUGUGCGCGUCCAAGCAGUAAGGCGUGUGUGUAGGCAAAUCCGCACACUGUAACGUUGAGCUGUGAUGGCGAGUCCGUAUGGACGAAGUUCCUGAUUUCACACUGCCAAGAAAAGCCUCUAUCGAGGUGAGAGGUGCCCGUACCGCAAACCGACACAGGUAGUCGAGGAGAGAAUCCUAAGGUGUGCGAGAGAACUCUCGUUAAGGAACUCGGCAAAAUGACCCCGUAACUUCGGGAGAAGGGGUGCUCUUGAGCGUGCAAGCGCAUGAGAGCCGCAGUGAAUAGGCCCAGGCGACUGUUUAGCAAAAACACAGGUCUCUGCAAAACCGUAAGGUGACGUAUAGGGGCUGACGCCUGCCCGGUG